AUGCAAGAGGAAUCUGAGAGUUGUUGCCCAAAGGAAGAGAAAGGUUGCUAUGCAGCCCAAAAGCAAACGUCCAUGACGUGGGGAGAGCGCAGGCAGCACAGGGAAUUUAUAUCUGACCCACUGCCCUGUAAGCUUCUUGGCUAUGAGAGAAGUCAUCAAAAAGAAAAUGCAGUGGAUAAGGACUAUGCAGUAUUCGUGAACAUCUUGAGCCUGAAAAUGAAGAACUCACCAUUCUGUGAAAAUGAGAACUCUGCCACCUUCAGGGAAGGCUGCAUAUGCCUGAGGAGUUGCUGA
rnacentral:lncRNA from 1 species